UUCUCUCUCUAAUGCUCGCUGAUUCUGCCCUUUCUCUCUUUAGAUCUCUCUGAUAUUUCUCAAAAUCCUCUGUUUCUCAUCAACAAUGAUAGUGAGUUCUUUUCCUUUUUUUCCCCUCCUUGAAGUUGGUGAUUUCUUAUGCUUUCUCCUUGUUAGGUUUCCUUUUGUACCUCAUUUUGGCUUUUUGGUAAACUACGGUCCGUUUGGUUGCCGAGAAGCAGGAGGAUAUGAAAACAGAAAAUUGAAGCCCUAUAUUUUUCGUCAUUUUCGCUCCGGUUAAGUCCAACCAAGUUCCGUACGGUUUUUUUUUUGGUUUCAGUUAAGUUUACUUCUUUGGUUGGAUUGGGAAUCGGUUAAAAGUUUAGGGCCGCGGAUUUUUUUUCCCUUUUGUUUUUCGGCAAACAAACAGAAGAUCGAGCGUUUGUGUCCUGGUUCUUCUUUGACUCAGGCAAACAAAGAGAAGAUUUAGUAGUUAUGUUUUUGCUUAUUUCUUGAUGAGGUGAGGAUUAUUUGAUAUGCUCCUUAUUGUUGCUGAGAAAGUGUCCGAAAAGAAAAGAAAUGAGAAGGAAGGCUUGACCAGAGACUAUGCUAAGUGGUUGUAUUAGGCUGAGUUGAUUGGAGUUUUUUAUUUUCUGGGGCAGAAAAUAGUGCCAAAUAUAAGAUUCAGAAUUUUGGAUUCUUUUUGUUACUACAUUUUGGCCUCAUCCAUAGGGAGGUUUGGGCUGUUAUUCUUGUGAAUGUAAUGGAAGCUGUCUUUUGGGGUAUUUCCUGAGUUUAUGUUAUGUAAAGUUGAAUUUUUUUUUUUGGAGAUUUUAAUCUUUCUCUCAGUUUUUCUUAUUUCUUCUAUAAUAGGUGAAUGUGUGAUGAUUUUUAGAUGUUAGUUUACUAGUUUCUUAUUUCUUGUCAUUUUGAUGCUGCUGGUAGUGUCCUUGGUUCUUCUUUUUUUUUUGCCAUUCCAGCUUAUUUUUUGAUAUUUGUCAUCAGAUGGUUGUUGGUAACAGUUCAGCAUCAUAUCUUUCUUCUUAUCAAUAAACUUAUUUUGGUUGUAAA